rnacentral:rRNA from 1 species
CGACCUCAGAUCAGGGGGGACUACCCGCUGAAUUUAAGCAUA